AAAAAAAUCAAUGAGAUCACUAUAGAGCCUCCUGACCUCCUGAAUGGUUUUAAAAACUUUGCUCAAAAAUAAGUGACACUUCUUAGAAAGUGGGGAAAUGGAAAAAGAUUAAGUGUACUCAGUAGGACUGGAUAUCUGAUAGUACACUUUCCUCCAGGACUCCAAAUGGAGUGGUCAAAUGAAGGUUUAACACUGAUCUCCAGGUAGGAGACCUGUGAUCUUGUCCUAUUUCUGCCACUGAUCCCCUCUGACCUUGUGGUGACUCAGGCUGGUGGGCAGGAAUUUCUUCAUCUGUAAAAUGAGAAAAAUCUUUCUCCUCCUCUUCUCAGGGAUAUGGUGGAGGGAGAUAAAAAGAGUCAUAUAUAUGAAAGGGAUAAUUUGGAGUUGGAGUAGGACCUAGUGCUUCCACUACGAAUCAUGAUAGGGCCUGAAUGUCAGGAGCUGAUGAAGGCCAGAGGAUAUAUUACUUCAAUCCACUUCAGUGUAAAUAUGAGAGGCCAAAGGGGAGUAGUGCUGGUGAUGGUGGAAAAGGCAGACUUGGCACUGGUAGGCAAAGAGGUCCAUGUGAAAGGUAAGAGAGGCAUCUCAGGAGAAGUGCCAUGUUAGAAAACGGCAUACUGUAAUCCCCAACAAGUAGCUCUCCUUCUAGAAAACUGAUGAAGAGGUAACAGAGGUUUGGAAUGAGAGAAUUUGGUUCAAAUAUUCGUUCUGUCAAUUCCUUUGAGUCCUUGGGAAAGUUUCUUCCUUUAGAAAGGAAGAAAGCCUCCGUUUCUUCCUUUCUAAAAUGGAAACCUACCACUAGCAUUCGGUAUCCAUCUAUGGCUGGAUGGAUAGAUAAUGGGAUAACAUAAUUAAAACACCUGGCAUACGAUGGGCACUAACAUAAUAUUUCCUUUUCUCCACCGUCUUUACCUCUUUUCCUUCAGCUCCCCUAAACCUUUUCAGGUCCAGCUUUUUUGAAUGGCAAGUUUGAGAGGGCUCCUAGCUGGCAGGUGCCUCUAACAGGCCCUGCUCUAACCUAAUUAGGGAUGCACAGGAAAGGAUCUUGGAAGGUGCAGAGGCUGGAAGACAGCCUGGUUUAUGGAGAAAUUUAACUACAGCUGUGGUUAGGUGGUUGACUUGGCUUUGGCUUGCUUUUAAAUAUGAACCCUUAUGCACAUAUUCGAAAAAUAAUGUCUGCUUGUUUACUUUCUUUCUUAAAGGCUGAAACUGUUACACACAUAAACCACAAUCUGAAUCAUCUCAUCCUGUUUCUGCAACCAAGGAAGUCAUCAUUCAUUGUGACAUCAUGUUCAGGGACCAGGCAAAUAGAGGUGAGGUCACAACAUAGGAAAGUUGCUUGGUGUAUAAUUAGUGUGGGGAGCACAGCGGGGUGGAUUACAAUGCACAGACAAAUUCUAAUCCAUAGCCUGUAAUUUAAGGGUUGGGUCAAUCAUAAUUUGGGUGCAAGCACACCUACUUCCUUUUUUAAUAAGGGAGAAUUUAGCUCUUGUUACCCACAAGAGUUCUCAAAGUAGAAAAUAAUAAACCAUGUUCUUGAAGCCAGUACUGAAUUAUCAAAGCUGAAGGAAGGGAAGCUAAAGAAAGAUUAGGCAACUUGGGGUACAAAUGGGUUCAAAAUCCUCUCCGUCAGUAUGCCAAGUCUCUGGAUACCAGUGACUUAUUUGCCCUGGGGUGAGAGAAAACUCCAUUUUCCAUCAAGCUAGAGAAGCAACCUUCGUUUUUCCGCCAUGGAUAAGGCCACUUAUUAGGAGGACAACAAGAAGGUGGACCAUUAAGACAACAUGACACGUAAGGCAGGAGAAUCACUUGAACCUGGAAGGCGGAGAUUGCAGUGAACUGAGAUCACACCAAUGCACUCUAGCCUGGGCAACAGAGUGAGACUCUGUCUCAAAAAAGAAAAAAAACAAAGACAAUACGACAUACCUAGAUUCUAAUUCAACACAGAAAAUGCAAAACAAACAAAUAAAUAAAAUAAACAUAAAA